UACGUAGGGUGCGAGCGUUAAUCGGAAUUACUGGGCGUAAAGCGUGCGCAGGCGGCUUCGCAAGUCAGACGUGAAAUCCCCCGGGCUUAACCUGGGAAUGGCGUUUGAAACUACGGAGCUGGAGUGUGGCAGAGGGAGGUAGAAUUCCACGUGUAGCGGUGAAAUGCGUAGAUAUGUGGAGGAAUACCGAUGGCGAAGGCAGCCUCCUGGGCCAACACUGACGCUCAUGCACGAAAGCGUGGGGAGAAACAGG
rnacentral:rRNA from 1 species